AAACCGGCGGUGGCAACCAGCACUAGUCGGCCCGCCAGUCAUAUCCGCCCCGCCCCGUCGGCUGCCGGGCACGCCCACCUAGGGGGGUCGACGGAUCCGAUUGGAGAACGCAUUCGGCGCAAAAGAAGGAGGAGCAUGAGACCCAGAAGAGGAAUCGAGAAGCAGAAGCAGAGGGCGGAGUAGCCCCGCCCGUCUGCUCGACCUUUUCUAGUUGGUUGGCGGAGAAUCUUGUUGUUUGCCUACUGAAGAGAUGAAACCAUGGCAGAAGUAGAAUCCUUAUAGAAACAGGACCAGAAACACCUCCCUUCUCCAACAAAAGGUUCAUUUUGGUGGCUGUCCGUUUGACCUGCUGUGCUUCAGUUUAAUUGGCUUGGAAAGGGGUCAGCAGGGUGAAACCGAACCCCAGAAAACUUGAUGAAGAAAUGUCUUUUGCCCGUUUUGAUUACGUGCAUGCAAACAGCGAUUUGCAAAGACCGUAUGAUGAUGAUCAUGAUCUUACUGGUGAAUUACAGACCUGAUGAAUUUAUAGAAUGUGAAGACCCAGUGGAU
rnacentral:lncRNA from 1 species